GAUUUUUUUGCCAGGUGAAACCAGAAAAUAACUUGCAUAGGUAAGUGUUUUAAUGCAUAAUGAAUCUACAAUCUUUUACAAUGUAAUAUGAAUAUAUGUACUGACUUGAUAUUUGUUGGUGUGUGUGUGUGUGUGUGUGUGUGUGUGUGUGUGUGUGUGUGUUUUGGCUGUUUCUCCGGUAACCGUUUCUAUUUGAAAAAGAGUGAGUGAGUGAGUUCAAGGGAGAGAGGGAGGGGGGUGAGAGAGAAAAAGGUUUGAUAGUAAGAUAAAAAUCCUUUAGUUAAAUUUGACAAUCAAUUUAUUAAAUUCUACAUUAUCUGAUGAUAAAAUAGCUAGUUUGUAAUAUACCAUCCAGAAAUACGAUUAAUAAUCAUCAUCGUCAGCAUCACCAUCAUCAUCUUCAUUAAUGCAUCUUAAGUAGCUGUAGAGCCACUCACUCUCUCACCGUCACUGUGCUGCUAAUACUGCUCUCUUUGUGCUGCUUCUAAAAGGAGGGUUAAUGCACUGCGCCAGAAACGAGAUCUCUUCCGAGAGGAGGUGAGUAUACCUAAGAGAAAAUGUCUGGGGAGAGUGGAGAAACCACACACACACACAUACACACACACACACACACACAAAACUAAGGCACUCUGCAUGUUGACAAAGCUGUCUUUGUAGAGUUAGCACAAAUGCUACAACUCUAAGAGCUCAGCUCCCAAAUGUCUGCUGCUGUCAUGCCAUCUUACAGAAAUUCUGACCCAGUCUCACCUCUAUAGCCGCACCAGCUCGGAUGCUUGGCGUGGAGAUGGGUCGUUCAUUUACAUUCAAACACCAAGAAACCAAGAAAACGCUUUCAGAAGUUUUAUCAUGACCCUCAGCUUCUUUUUCUCUUCUUUUACAGACCUUUAGUGCAGUGCUGUCAGAUUCAGCUCUUCCUCGACGUGUUCUUCAUAAUUACACAGUCCGGGAUGCCUCUACAGAGUUUUGCGGGUGUCUUAAUGGGGGCUGGUGUCAGGACGGAGGCCACUGCGACUGUGCUCAGUUCCAGGCUCUGGGAGAGCGCUGCCAAAUCAGUGAGUAAUAUCACAGAGUGAGUGGACGCACAGAGCUGUGCAGAGAUAUGCUGGCGAUUCCGGGGGUGAAAGGAGCGACUUAGUAGUGAACCCUUUGAGAAACACUCUUCCAAGGAACCCGAUCUCAAUGCUGAA
rnacentral:lncRNA from 1 species